rnacentral:rRNA from 1 species
UACAGAGGGCUCAAGCGUUGUUCGGAUUCAUUGGGCGUAAAGGGUGUGUAGGUGGCGCCGUAAGUCGGGUGUGAAAUUUCGGAGCUUAACUCCGAAACUGCAUUCGAUACUGCGGUGCUUGAGGACUGGAGAGGAGACUGGAAUUCAUGGUGUAGCAGUGAAAUGCGUAGAGAUCAUGAGGAAGACCAGUGGCGAAGGCGGGUCUCUGGACAGUUCCUGACGCUGAGACGCGAAAGCGUGGGGAGCGAACAGG